GACGAACGCUGGCGGCGUGCUUAACACAUGCAAGUCGAACGGAAAGGCCCUGCUUUUGUGGGGUGCUCGAGUGGCGAACGGGUGAGUAACACGUGAGUAACCUGCCCUUGACUUUGGGAUAACUUCAGGAAACUGGGGCUAAUACCGGAUAGGAGCUCCUGCUGCAUGGUGGGGGUUGGAAAGUUUCGGCGGUUGGGGAUGGACUCGCGGCUUAUCAGCUUGUUGGUGGGGUAGUGGCUUACCAAGGCUUUGACGGGUAGCCGGCCUGAGAGGGUGACCGGCCACAUUGGGACUGAGAUGCGGCCCAGAAUCCUACGGGAGGCAGCAGUGGGGAAUAUUGCACAAUGGGCGGAAGCAUGAUGCAGAAACGCCGCGUGCGGGAUGACGGCAUUCGGGUUGUAAACCGCUUUCGCAUGUGACGAAGCGUGAGUGACGGUAAUGGGUAAAGAAGCACCGGCUAACUACGUG
rnacentral:rRNA from 1 species